GUGUAUGUGUAUGUGUAGUCACAUGUCUACAUACACACAGGACAUAAUACACACAAGAUACUUGUCAACCACAAAGAUAAAACAGCCAGUUAUUUUACCAGCAAAAUUGGUUUAUUUGGGAGUAAAGAAAGAAUUGCAAUUUGGGAUGUGCAUGCCUUGGCGGACCAUAGGCAAAUCCAGCAAUCAAAGGAGAGGAACAUUGUUUUAUGCAGAAAAGGGAGAAAGUUGGGAGGGGUGGUUUUGAAGGGAAGUCCACUGGAGGAGAGCGAUAGUUCAGGUGUGAUGGUUUCUCAUUGGCUGAGUUGCCAGGUCCUCCAUUUCUGUUUGGGAUGCAAUGUACAUCUCUCCCUGUAAUGGAUGAUUCUUCCCUGUUGAGGACUUCUGUUGGGGUCUGACAAAGUUGAGGAUAAAUGAAGGGUGGAGGAGAAAUGCCUCUCGUGCCCCCCAUCCCGGUUCCAGCAUGCAGGCAUUUCUGGACUUCCUCUCCUUCAGGCAGGAAGAAGCUUUGCGAGAUGUCAGGUAAAGUCUGUCUGCUCAUGAGGAGGCAUGUCAGGCAGGUCUGGAAACCUCAGGUUUGUGAGUGGGACCCAUCAAACGUGAGCUUGACUCCAGGGUGCUCCAGGGGGGCUGUUAGUUGGGGAGCCCCUGUCAGUAUCUCUAGGUCUUUCCUCCAGCUGGUCAGGCUCCCCGGGAAGAGUCUUCCAGUCUCCUGCCUGGAGCAUAGAGGCCCAGCUGCCAGUAUAUCCAAGGAGUGGGUGGGAGUGGAGAGGUAAACUCACCCUCAACUGCCAUCCUCCUCCUGGAGCCCCUCCAGGCAGAGAAGAGACUUUCAGGCUGCUGCCAGCAGGGGGCCCAGACAGUCACUCAGUGCCACUGCUGGACUGUGAAAAGGGGGUUAGGAACCUGCUUCCUAGGCCUGAGAAUACAGUACCUAUUCAGAUAAUUCAAGGUGCUGAGGACUCAUCGCUGAGUAACAGGGGCAAAAUCCCAGCCCUCAUGGAGUUCAGCGGAGGGAGACAGAAAAUAGACUUAUAUGCAUGAUAGUUUUCUUCAGUGAAAUGUUCGUGCAAGGGAUGUGUGCACUUUAAAAGGAUGACGUUGAGAGAGGUGUUGCCAUGGGCCCAAAGCAGUCUCUGAAAAUCCUUGCAGAGGGCCCAGACUGCAUGCUGACCCGUGUCCUGAUACUGAGUAGUUUCUGUAGCUGGUCCUAUAGGCAACUAAGCAGGUCAAGGUGCCCACUGCCAGGACGGCGGGGCAGAGGGUGGCUUGUGUGCCGCUUGCCUCAGUGUGUGCUGCCUGCCGGGCCUGUGGCCUUGGGCUCCUCACUCUGCAAUCCAUGAGCCCCACUCCGCACCCCCUGCGCUUUAAGCCCGACAGGGGGCUGCGUCACACCACGUUGAAGUCCCAAAGGGAAAGCACCUGGAUGAAGUGUAGGGUUCACACUGCUCACGAAGGGACAGGAGCCUCCAGGGCUCGGAGUGUGCUGGUGCCUCGAGGCUCUCCUUGGUCCAAGGCUCCCACCAGACCGUUGCACAUCCCCAGGAUGUGCAAAGGCAGCACAAUGCCCCGGGAAGAAACCAGAGAGUCGCGCCUUUGGCGGCAGUGGCCACAGGGACCCAGAGGCAGCAGCACCACCUUCCAGCUCAACUGCUGGGACUAGGACCAGCUCUCCGUACGGCUGACCACCUGACCCCUGGCCUUGUCACACAGCCUGACAUCCCUCAACCACGGAGGAAAGGACCAGCUGACCCGGGAAGUCCAAUGGAAUAUGUGUUUGGGGUGCAGCCACCCUGGCCCUAGUGUCACCUGUUUGCAGAGUGGGGCAGCUCUCCCCUUGGGGAAACUCCCCCCACUCUGCCGCCUGAAGCAAAGCUGCUGGCUCAGGGGGGCUUCCUCCUCAGAGGUUCCCUUACAUGCCUGGGCCACGUUCUCCCAAGGUUCAGGUAAGCUGAAGCCCGUGGGGGUCACUAUGUUGCUGACAACAUCCCAGACGUCUGGUCUACCACCGGGGACACGUCAGUCGGCAGACUGAAGACUCUUUGGGGCCCCAAACUCCACAAACUGGCCGCCGGUCUCUGGGUCUCUCACAGGUAUGCCCACUGUGAGGGCCCUGAUGUGAGCCCUGAAAUCAAGCUGCCGGGGGAGCUGGUGGCCCAGCCCACUGGCCCGACACAGCAGCACACUGCCACCUUGGACGGACACCACCCGUGGGGCUGUGACGGACGCCUCUGCGGGCGGCUCCUGGAGUGAAGGCCUCCUUGCCCGGGCCUUGGCCUUCUCUUUGGGCUGCUGGCGGAGCCUCCCGGCUGCUGCCACAAUUUCAAGCUGCAGCGUUGCUGUCCUUGUCCCAUCAGCUCGGUCUAUCACCUUUGAAACUACCCUGUGACAUGUUUUCAGCCUUUCCAUCCCUUUACAAUCUGCCAAUGGCCACCCAGCAACGGGCCCUAGUCAAGGUAUUCGAUGAUGCUCCGCUCCAGGCAUUUGGUAUCCCCAGGAAUUCGGACCACCUCGAAGACUUCCAGCUCUGCCUUUCUCACUUCCUCCUGGUCCAUCUCCUCUUGGCCAGCCCACUGUCUCCUGGGUCCUGCACCACGAAGGCAGCGAUCACUAGGCUGAGGACCUGCUCCACGCGGCCCCCCAUGGUGCCCUGGUCCCGCUCACACCUGACCACA